CUAGACGGGAAACGAUGUCGUUUUCAUCAUACCGUUCAACCCACCCCAUCCCAAACGCAAACGGCGCCGUUUUGACACCCAAAAAACCUAACCCUACGCCAGCCGUAUAUAAGCCUCCUUACUCACCCAUCCCUCAUUUCCCCUCCUCUUCCUUCUUCCGUCCUCUCUCUCUCUGUCUCUGUCUCUCUCUCUCUCAGCUUUCUUCUUGUCGUUUCAUCUCUCUCUCAGUUUUUUUCUUCUCGGUUUGGUCUUUUGGAUUUCCCUUAGCCCUGCUUCUCUUCUGUCACUUUAUUUUUCUCUUCUCUUGCAUUUAUUUUGUUUAUUUUCUCUGUGUUUAGAUAUACAUUAUUGUUUACGAUUUUUUGUUUUUUUUUGUUAUUUUCAUGGUGGCUUGUGUUGUUAUUUGUUAUAUACAUGGGGAUUUCUUUUAAAUUGUUUUUAGAUCUGGAGAAAAAAAAAAAAAAAAUUUUCUUGCGUGCGAGUUCAUCUUGUUUACAUAUAUGUAGAAAUUCUUUUUUCCUUGCAUUUCUUCUAUUUUUUUUUUCUUGUUGUUUGCUGUUUGAUAUCUUGUUUACAUAUCUGCCUACUCUUUACAUUUUUUUUUUUGCUUUUUUUUUUUCCUUUGCGUUCUGAUAUGCGUUUCAUUUCUUCUCGAUUUUCUUUGCAUUUUUUUUCUUGUUAUUUUCUGUCUCCUUUGCGUUCUGAUGUGUAUCUCAUCUUGUUCUUCUCGCAUGUGUUUUUUUCCUCGCACAAAUUUUUUUUUUCAGAUCUGUAUAACAAAAGUAUUUGUUUUUUUUUAGAUAUGCAUUUCUAGCAUCUUUUCGUUUCAGAUCCAACUUUUUCUUUUCCCUUUCGGAUGUUUUUUUUUUCAUCGCACAAUUUUUUUUUUCACAUUUGUAUAAGAAAAGUAUUUGUUUUUUUUUAGAUAUGUAUUUCUAGGGUUCUUUCAUUUCAGAUCUAAGUUUUUCUUUUCCCUUUCGUUUGAUUCCUUCCGUUUGAUUUGUGCUCGUUUUUGUUUGUAAUUUUUUUUCUUCUUAUUUUCCGUCUUGUUUGCAUUCUAAUCUGUGUCUCAUGUUGUGUUUUUUUCCCCUCGCACAGAUUUUUUUUUUCACAUCUGUAUAAGAAAAGUAGUUCCUUUUUUUUUUUUUUUUUACCAGAUAUGUAUUUCUAGGGUUUUGUCCUUUGAUAUCCAAGUUCUUAUUUUCCCUUUCGUUUGAUUCUUACCACUUUUCUUUCCUACGGUUUCAUUUCUGUAAAAGUUUUUCGUUGUUUUGUGUUUCUCGAUUUUGUUUGUGAUUUUUUUUUCUUCUUAUUUUUCGUCUUGUUUGCGUUUUGAUCUGUCUCAUGUUGUGUUUUUUUUUUACCUCGCACAUAUUUAUUUUUUCAGAUCUGUAUAAGAAAAGUAUUUUUUUUUUCAGAUAUGUAUCUCUAGGGUUUUUUCGUUUCAUAUCCAAGUUCUUAUUUUCCCUUUCAUUUGAUUCGUUCCACUUUUUUUUUCCUAGGGUUUCAUUUUUGCAAUUUUUUUUUCGUCGUUGUUCUAUUUUUAUCUAUACUGCGUUUGAUUUCUUCUAUUUUUGUAUAUGGCGUUUGAUCUAUACUUUGUUUUUAUUUAUUUAUUUAUUUAUAUUACUUUUGUAUUUUUCAGAUCUAUAGGUUUGUUCCCCACUUCCGUGCUUUCGUUGAACCAGAAUCAACAACCCCAUCAACCUAUCUUCACUAAGGACAUAGAAGGAAAUUAGAAGAUGAAUUUAUAGCAUGUGUUUGAUUUUUUUGUUGGGUUUACUCUGUAAAAUACACAUGUGAAUACGCAGAUGUACUUUUUAUUUUCUUUCA